AUUGCCCCAGAUAGCGGCGAGUGAAGCGGCAAGAGCUCAGAUUUGAAAUCGUGUUUCGGCACGAGUUGUAGAGUGUAGGCGGGAGUCUCUGUGGAGCGCGGUGUCCAAGUCCCUUGGAACAGGGUGCCUGAGAGGGUGAGAGCCCCGUAGGGUGCUGCGCGAAGCUUUUGAGGCCCUGCUGACGAGUCGAGUUGUUUGGGAAUGCAGCUCCAAGCGGGUGGUAAAUUCCAUCUAAGGCUAAAUAUUGGCGAGAGACCGAUAGCGAACAAGUACUGUGAAGGAAAGAUGAAAAGCACUUUGAAAAGAGAGUGAAACAGCACGUGAAAUUGUUGAAAGGGAAGGGUAUUGGGCUCGACAUGGGGGGUGCGCACCGCUGUCUCUUGUAGGCGGCGCUCUGGGCGCCCUCUGGGCCAGCAUCGGUUCCUGCUGCGGGAGAAGGGGCUCCGGAAAGUGGCUCUUCGGAGUGUUAUAGCCGGGGCCAGAUGCCGCGUGUGGGGACCGAGGACUGCGGCUUCUGUCUCGGAUGCUG
rnacentral:rRNA from 1 species